UACAGAGGGUGCAAGCGUUGUUCGGAUUUACUGGGCGUAAAGCGCGUGUAGGCGGCAGCGCAAGUCGGGCGUGAAAUCCCACGGCUCAACCGUGGAAGUGCACUCGAAACUGCGCAGCUAGAGUCCUGGAGAGGAAGGUGGAAUGCUUGGUGUAGAGGUGAAAUUCGUAGAUAUCAAGCGGAACACCGGUGGCGAAGGCGGCCUUCUGGACAGUGACUGACGCUGAGAUGCGAAAGCGUGGGGAGCAAACAGG
rnacentral:rRNA from 1 species